AAUGUUGUAUUUUUUAAUCUUAUGGUUUGAAAUAUUCUUUUUCUUAUAAAUUACAGCUUGGAUAGAGAACCUGAAUAAUACUGACUUCUCUAAGUCUACAGUUUUACAAAGUGUUCUCUAUCAAGUUCAUAUUCCAAACAAGAGGACAAAGCCAAAGUGGUCGAAUUGCUGUGUUUACGUUGCUAGCAAGAAGUGAAGCCAUAACUGAAUUGGAGUCUUCUCUCUUCUCAUCUCCCAUGGAUGUAUCCUUACCCAGUGUUCUCCGAAGUGGACAUAACCACAUCUCACACAGUAUCUGGACUGUAUCAAGAACCAGCGUUGAGCAGGUGGGAAUGGGAUGAAGUUCUUGCUUUCUUCAGUGUAGUAAAAGAACUCACCAGGGGCGCCCAUGGGGUACUCUCAUCGAAAGUUCAAUCACUUACGCGCCGGCAAAUCUAAAUAGGACUGGUUACCUCCCGAUAUCCUGCUAUAUUCGAAGGUGUUCCUUUCCUGCACCAGCCAUCCCCGACCUGCCCCGUCACAACACUAUUAAAGGAGCUGUGAGACCCUUUUCUGAACCGUACCAUUCUUCUGCAGGUGAUGGCGUCAAAGUUGGGGAUGACCCAAGAGAUUAAAAAUCAGACUGUUUCUCCCAAAUUUUCAAACUAGGACUGUGUCGCUCUGGUGAUAUACUGUGAUAUAAAAAUCAGGACUUGCUGGAGGCCCGUACUCUCUUCUUAUUUGUGAGAAUUCCCCUCUGCAGAGAGAGAAUGGCACAGAGGAGUUUUCUGAGCUC
rnacentral:lncRNA from 1 species